rnacentral:misc_RNA from 1 species
GAUGAAGAACGUAGCGAAAUGCGAUAAGUAAUGUGAAUUGCAGAAUCCAGUGAAACAUCGAAUCUUUGAACGCACAUUGCGCCCGCCAGCAUUCUGGCGGGCAUGCCUGUUCGAGCGUCAUUUCAACCCUCGACCUCCCUUUGGGGAAGUCGGCGUUGGGGACCGGCAGCACACCGCCGGCCCUGAAAUGGAGUGGCGGCCCGUCCGCGGCGACCUCUGCGUAGUAAACCAACUCGCACCGGAACCCCGACGUGGCCACGCCGUAAAACACCCAACUUCUGAACGUUGACCUCGAAUCAGGUAGGACUACCCGCUGAACUUAAGCAUAUCAAUAAGCGGAGGA